rnacentral:rRNA from 1 species
GGACUACCGGGGUAUCUAAUCCUGUUUGCUACCCACGCUUUCGUGUCUCAGCGUCAGUUACGGUCCAGAGAGCCGUCUACACCACAGGUAUUCCUCCUGAUAUCUACGCAUUUCACCGCUACACCAGGAAUUCUACUCUCCCAUCCCGUACUCUAGCCCUGCAGUCUUUAGCGCACCCUCCCGGUUAAGCCGGGAGAUUUCACACCAAACUUACAAAGCCGCCUACACACCCUUUACGCCCAGUAACUCCGAACAACGCUCGCUGCCUACGUAUUACCGCGGCUGCUGGCAC